rnacentral:rRNA from 1 species
GUAUCCAACCUGCCGUCUACUCUUGGACAGCCUUCUGAAAGGAAGAUUAAUACAAGAUGGCAUCAUGAGUCCGCAUGUUCACAUGAUUAAAGGUAUUCCGGUAGACGAUGGGGAUGCGUUCCAUUAGAUAGUAGGCGGGGUAACGGCCCACCUAGUCUUCGAUGGAUAGGGGUUCUGAGAGGAAGGUCCCCCACAUUGGAACUGAGACACGGUCCAAACUCCUACGGGAGGCAGCAUG